rnacentral:rRNA from 1 species
GGUUAAGCGACUAAGCGUACACGGUGGAUGCCCUGGCAGUCAGAGGCGAUGAAGGACGUGCUAAUCUGCGAUAAGCGUCGGUGAGGUGAUAUGAACCGUUAUAACCGGCGAUUUCCGAAUGGGGAAACCCAGUGUGUUUCGACACACUAUCAUUAACUGAAUCCAUAGGUUAAUGAGGCGAACCGGGGGAACUGAAACAUCUAAGUACCCCGAGGAAAAGAAAUCAACCGAGAUUCCCCCAGUAGCGGCGAGCGAACGGGGAGCAGCCCAGAGCCUGAAUCAGUGUGUGUGUUAGUGGAAGCGUCUGGAAAGGCGCGCGAUACAGGGUGACAGCCCCGUACACAAAAAUGCACAUGCUGUGAGCUCGAUGAGUAGGGCGGGACACGUGGUAUCCUGUCUGAAUAUGGGGGGACCAUCCUCCAAGGCUAAAUACUCCUGACUGACCGAUAGUGAACCAGUACCGUGAGGGAAAGGCGAAAAGAACCCCGGCGAGGGGAGUGAAAAAGAACCUGAAACCGUGUACGUACAAGCAGUGGGAGCCUCUUAAUGGGGUGACUGCGUACCUUUUGUAUAAUGGGUCAGCGACUUAUAUUCUGUAGCAAGGUUAACCGAAUAGGGGAGCCGAAGGGAAACCGAGUCUUAACUGGGCGUUAAGUUGCAGGGUAUAGACCCGAAACCCGGUGAUCUAGCCAUGGGCAGGUUGAAGGUUGGGUAACACUAACUGGAGGACCGAACCGACUAAUGUUGAAAAAUUAGCGGAUGACUUGUGGCUGGGGGUGAAAGGCCAAUCAAACCGGGAGAUAGCUGGUUCUCCCCGAAAGCUAUUUAGGUAGCGCCUCGUGAAUUCAUCUCCGGGGGUAGAGCACUGUUUCGGCAAGGGGGUCAUCCCGACUUACCAACCCGAUGCAAACUGCGAAUACCGGAGAAUGUUAUCACGGGAGACACACGGCGGGUGCUAACGUCCGUCGUGAAGAGGGAAACAACCCAGACCGCCAGCUAAGGUCCCAAAGUCAUGGUUAAGUGGGAAACGAUGUGGGAAGGCCCAGACAGCCAGGAUGUUGGCUUAGAAGCAGCCAUCAUUUAAAGAAAGCGUAAUAGCUCACUGGUCGAGUCGGCCUGCGCGGAAGAUGUAACGGGGCUAAACCAUGCACCGAAGCUGCGGCAGCGACACUAAGUGUUGUUGGGUAGGGGAGCGUUCUGUAAGCCUGUGAAGGUGUACUGUGAGGUAUGCUGGAGGUAUCAGAAGUGCGAAUGCUGACAUAAGUAACGAUAAAGCGGGUGAAAAGCCCGCUCGCCGGAAGACCAAGGGUUCCUGUCCAACGUUAAUCGGGGCAGGGUGAGUCGACCCCUAAGGCGAGGCCGAAAGGCGUAGUCGAUGGGAAACAGGUUAAUAUUCCUGUACUUGGUGUUACUGCGAAGGGGGGACGGAGAAGGCUAUGUUGGCCGGGCGACGGUUGUCCCGGUUUAAGCGUGUAGGCUGGUUUUCCAGGCAAAUCCGGAAAAUCAAGGCUGAGGCGUGAUGACGAGGCACUACGGUGCUGAAGCAACAAAUGCCCUGCUUCCAGGAAAAGCCUCUAAGCAUCAGGUAACAUCAAAUCGUACCCCAAACCGACACAGGUGGUCAGGUAGAGAAUACCAAGGCGCUUGAGAGAACUCGGGUGAAGGAACUAGGCAAAAUGGUGCCGUAACUUCGGGAGAAGGCACGCUGAUAUGUAGGUGAAGUCCCUCGCGGAUGGAGCUGAAAUCAGUCGAAGAUACCAGCUGGCUGCAACUGUUUAUUAAAAACACAGCACUGUGCAAACACGAAAGUGGACGUAUACGGUGUGACGCCUGCCCGGUGCCGGAAGGUUAAUUGAUGGGGUUAGCGGUAACGCGAAGCUCUUGAUCGAAGCCCCGGUAAACGGCGGCCGUAACUAUAACGGUCCUAAGGUAGCGAAAUUCCUUGUCGGGUAAGUUCCGACCUGCACGAAUGGCGUAAUGAUGGCCAGGCUGUCUCCACCCGAGACUCAGUGAAAUUGAACUCGCUGUGAAGAUGCAGUGUACCCGCGGCAAGACGGAAAGACCCCGUGAACCUUUACUAUAGCUUGACACUGAACAUUGAGCCUUGAUGUGUAGGAUAGGUGGGAGGCUUUGAAGUGUGGACGCCAGUCUGCAUGGAGCCGGCCUUGAAAUACCACCCUUUAAUGUUUGAUGUUCUAACGUUGGCCCCUGACCGGGGUUGCGGACAGUGUCUGGUGGGUAGUUUGACUGGGGCGGUCUCCUCCUAAAGAGUAACGGAGGAGCACGAAGGUUGGCUAAUCCUGGUCGGACAUCAGGAGGUUAGUGCAAUGGCAUAAGCCAGCUUGACUGCGAGCGUGACGGCGCGAGCAGGUGCGAAAGCAGGUCAUAGUGAUCCGGUGGUUCUGAAUGGAAGGGCCAUCGCUCAACGGAUAAAAGGUACUCCGGGGAUAACAGGCUGAUACCGCCCAAGAGUUCAUAUCGACGGCGGUGUUUGGCACCUCGAUGUCGGCUCAUCACAUCCUGGGGCUGAAGUAGGUCCCAAGGGUAUGGCUGUUCGCCAUUUAAAGUGGUACGCGAGCUGGGUUUAGAACGUCGUGAGACAGUUCGGUCCCUAUCUGCCGUGGGCGCUGGAGAACUGAGGGGGGCUGCUCCUAGUACGAGAGGACCGGAGUGGACGCAUCACUGGUGUUCGGGUUGUCAUGCCAAUGGCACUGCCCGGUAGCUAAAUGCGGAAGAGAUAAGUGCUGAAAGCAUCUAAGCACGAAACUUGCCCCGAGAUGAGUUCUCCCUGACUCCUUGAGAGUCCUGAAGGAACGUUGAAGACGACGACGUUGAUAGGCCGGGUGUGUAAGCGCAGCGAUGCGUUGAGCUAACCGGUACUAAUGAACCGUGAGGCUUAACCUU